rnacentral:rRNA from 1 species
UACGUAGGGGGCGAGCGUUGUCCGGAUUUAUUGGGCGUAAAGAGCGUGUAGGCGGCUUUGCAGGUCCGCUGUGAAAACUCGAGGCUUAACCUCGAGAUGUCGGUGGAAACCGCAUGGCUAGAGUCCGGAAGAGGAGAAUGGAAUUCCCGGUGUAGCGGUGAAAUGCGCAGAUAUCGGGAAGAACACCCGUGGCGAAGGCGGUUCUCUGGGACGGUACUGACGCUGAGACGCGAAAGCGUGGGGAGCGAACAGG